rnacentral:misc_RNA from 1 species
GCACUCAUGGAUAUAUUGCUCCAGGUAAACAAUUCCCUUUCUGCUGAUUUAGCUUUUCAAACUUAUUUGCUUUAAUACAGAGCACUCACAGUGGACAAGAAGUCCACAUAUUAAUUCCUCUUAACUAGUAAUACCAAUAAAAUAGGGAAACAAGUCUUAGAAAAGAUCAUUGAUACCCAAAUAAAAAAUGAUGAAAAUGAAUCAUCUUUUUAUAUUACAUUCGUUUAUGCAAGUGUUUUUAUCCACGUUGCGUUCUCUAAAAUUGUUUUCUUUUUUAAUCCAUUUAAUAUAGAACUUGCAUAUACUAUGGUCGU